CGCGUGAGUGAAGAACGCCUUCGUGUUGUAAAGCUCUUUCGGGAGGAACGAAAUACUGGGGUGAAUAAUCCUGGUGACUGACGGUACCUCAAGAAGAAGCACCGGCUAACUACGUGCCAACAGCCGAGGUAAUACGUAGGGUGCGAGCGUUAAUCGGAAUUACUGGGCGUAAAGCGUGCGCAGGCGGUUUGUUAAGUCAGAUGUGAAAUCCCCGAGCUCAACUUGGGAACUGCGUUUGAGACUAGCAAGCUAGAGUCUGUCAGAGGGGGGUAGAAUUCCACGUGUAGCAGUGAAAUGCGUAGAUAUGUGGAGGAAUACCGAUGGCGAAGGCAGCCCCCUGGGACCUGACUGACGCUCAUGCACGAAAGCGUGGGGAGCAAACAGGAUUAGAUACCCUGGUAGUCCACGCCCUAAACGAUGUCAACUGGUUGUAGGGUAACUUGUUUAUUCAGUAACGAAGCUAACGCGAGAAGUUGACCGCCUGGGGAGUACGGUCGCAAGAUUAAAACUCAUAGGAAUUGACGGGGACCCGCACAAGCGGAGGAUGAUGUGGAUACA
rnacentral:rRNA from 1 species